UACAGAGACUGCAAGCGUUAUUCGGAUUUACUGGGCGUAAAGGGUGCGCAGGCGGCCAAGUGUGUUAGGCGUGAAAGCCUGGGGCUUAACCCCAGAAUUGCACCUAAAACUACAUGGCUAGAGCAUUGGAGAGGGUAGCGGAAUUCACGGUGUAGCAGUGAAAUGCGUAGAUAUCGUGAGGAACACCAGAGGCGAAGGCGGCUACCUGGACAAUUGCUGACGCUCAUGCACGAAAGCGUGGGGAGCAAACAGG
rnacentral:rRNA from 1 species